rnacentral:rRNA from 1 species
UCAGCUCGUGUCGUGAGAUGUUGGGUUAAGUCCCGCAACGAGCGCAACCCACGUAUUUAGUUGCUAACGGUUCGGCCGAGCACUCUAAAUAGACUGCCUUCGUAAGGAGGAGGAAGGUGUGGACGACGUCAAGUCAUCAUGGCCCUUAUGCCCAGGGCGACACACGUGCUACAAUGGCAUAUACAAUGAGACGCAAUACCGCGAGGUGGAGCAAAUCUAUAAAAUAUGUCCCAGUUCGGAUUGUUCUCUGCAACUCGAGAGCAUGAAGCCGGAAUCGCUAGUAAUCGUAGAUCAGCCAUGCUACGGUGAAUACGUUCCCGGGUCUUGUACUCACCGCCCGUCACACCAUGGGAGUUGAUUUCACUCGAAGCCGGAAUACUAAACUAGUUACCGUCCACAGUGGAAUCAGCGACUGGGGUGAAGUCGUAACAAGGUAACCGUAGGAGAACCUGCGGUUGGA